GACGAACGCUGGCGGCGUGCUUAACACAUGCAAGUCGAGCGGUAAGGCCCUUUCGGGGGUACGACGAGCGGCGAACGGGUGAGUAACACGUGGGUGACCUGCCCUCCAGCUCUGGGAUAAGCCUGGGAAACCGGGUCUAAUACCGGAUAUGACUCCAUGACGCAUGUUGUGGGGUGGAAAGCCUUGUGCGGCUGAGGAUGGGCCCGCGGCCUAUCAGCUUGUUGGUGGGGUGAUGGCCUACCAAGGCGACGACGGGUAGCCGGCCUGAGAGGGCGACCGGCCACACUGGGACUGAGACACGGCCCAGACUCCUACGGGAGGGCAGCAGUGGGGAAUCUUGCGCAAUGGGCGAAAGCCUGACGCAGCGACGCCGCGUGAGGGAUGACGGCCU
rnacentral:rRNA from 1 species